UUCCACCUCUCUCCAACUCUUCUUCUCACAUACUGUCAACAACUGGACCUGAACAUUUCAAACUUCCUCCGUCGCUCCAUAAUCUUCUUUUCCACUGAUCUUGACUCCAGACUUCGUGAGCUUUUCCACGUCUCACCCUUUUUUCCCUGUUCCCUUCAGAAAAAGUGGUUUCUUGGCCGCUGUCCUUCCACAAAGGCCGUUCCUGAUCGAGCUCCUUUGGACUGUGGAAGGAUCAACUUGGCAUCCAGAUGAAGCUGCCAGAUGCUGAGCCAGGUCUUUGCUGGAUUCCCUCCAGUCUCUCAAAGAAGGUCUCAUCAGCUCCAGAGACAAGUGUGUCAGCAUGGAUAUCCAGGCAGCUGAUGGUGCCAGUGUGGCCAUACAGCACCAUCUCACACCUGCCUGUCUUCAAAUUCCAACACCUACAGAUGGGAUGAAACAACGAAUAAACACCCACACUAUUAAAUCUACUUCAGUCAGGAGGGGAAUCUCGCAGUAAUCACCAGGUCCCUGUCUUCGCAGAGCAGCACUGCUCGAAUGCUGGCAACAUGGCCCUUCAUCACUGAC